AACAAUCUCAUCUUAUACACUACAAAAAUAAAAAUAUAAAUUAGCGACAUACAAUUUUGUAGCUAAACAACAUAAUUCGUUACUAAUCCUAUUUAGUGACGGAUUAGCAACAAUUAUCAAUAUUUUUAUAUAGUUACCAGCAAUUUAACGACGAAGUUCGUAGCUAAUUCCGAGAGAUAUAUUCCAUUAUGCCUCUUCUCAAUAAUCAUAUUGUGUCUCUUUUUUUGAGUGCCAAUAAAUCAGAUGGAGUAAGAAGAAAAAGAAGGAAAGAACCCUAUCGAAGUUUUCUGGUUACAAUUUGGUAAAUCAUUUGGAACAUUCAUUUGAGCAAGAAAGUUAGAGUUAGUACGACGAUGAAGGUACGAGGAUGAUGUUGUUUUAGCUAACCUCAACCUCGGACCUUCAUCUAUAACGUCAAUUAUGACGUAGGCGCACACGUGGAACGUUCAUCACCACUAUUUCACAUAAUAUUUCACUCAAGAAAAUUUUGUUCAUGGCCCAAAGACAACAUGAAGUUUGUUAGUCAAGGCCUAUAUACAUAACACAACAAAAAACGCCUCUAGUGGCAAUAACAAAUGUUACUUGGAACAGAGGUAGAUUCAAGAUUUAUAAUUUUGUUGAUUCAAUAAUAUAUUAAAGAGUAUCAACAUUGUUUUCAUUA